CUUGUAUGAAAUUGUUCUUUGUUAGCAGGGAAACCCUUUUGUUGAGCUUUAAUAACAGAAUUCACAUCUUUCAUCACUCUUCAGCCUCGCUUCCAGAGAGUUCUGAGGGCCAUGAUGCCAAGGGAGAGUGAUGAGCCAAGACAGGUUCCUGCAGAGUGCGGAGCCGGGCUGGGCGUGUACAAAGUGGAGAACUCGGUCUGUCGUGCGGAGCUGGCCUUGUGGAGAUGCAGGGGGCAGGCUGCCGACAGUCUGUGGGAGGGUCUACUCGGUCUCUCUGACAGAAGCUACCCACAUCAAAGCUCUCUGUGGAGCUCUGUGCUGGCUCGAGUCUCCGCUCCACAUUCUGCAGAGACUUGCUCAAACAGCGCCUGUCCAGCACAGGCACCAUUAAAAGCCUACGUGCAGAAGACACGCAGGGAGCCUGUCCGAAUUGGCUCUGGGAAACAGCCAGGUGUGUUUCAUUCCAAAGAAAUAUCGGGAGUGGGAAGGACGUCAUCUAGAAGAAAGCCACUGGACCGCCUGUCAGUGUUGGCUAGCAACACUGCUCUGUUUGUUCUGGGAGUUGCUUCAGAGAAACGCGGAGGAUGAGACAAGAUGACACAGUAUCUCCCGAAGCAGCACCUCGCAUGCAGCUCCAAACCCAGGAGGGUAACCUUGACUAUAAGAAGCCCCUGUUGAGAUCGCUCGCUGUGAUUCUGCCCAUCAGAGACAAGUCCUUCACAAUGAAACCACAUCUGUCUCUUGAUGAAGCGUGGCAGCUAGCAGUUCCUCAGCCUUCCUGUGUCCCAGGAAUGGGCUAAGGUACUCUGCAGCUC
rnacentral:lncRNA from 1 species